rnacentral:rRNA from 1 species
CCUACGGGAGGCAGCAGUAGGGAAUUUUCGUCAAUGGGCGCAAGCCUGAACGAGCAAUGCCGCGUGAACGAGGAAGGUCUUCGGAUCGUAAAGUUCUGUUGAAGGGGAAAAAGAGCGGAGAGAGGAAAUGCUUUCUGAUUGAUAUUACCCUUCGAGGAAGUCACGGCUAACUACGUGCGAGCAGCCGCGGUAAUACGUAGGUGGCGAGCGUUAUCCGGAAUGAUUGGGCGUAAAGGGUGCGUAGGCGGCCUGCUAAGUCUGGAGUGAAAGGUACCGGCUCAACCGGUACAGGCUCUGGAAACUGGCGGGCUAGAGAGCAGGAGAGGGCGGUGGAACUCCAUGUGUAGCGGUAAAAUGCGUAGAUAUCGCGCAGAACCCCGAUUGCGAAGGCAGCGUGCCGUGCCGCCACUGACGCUGAGGCACGAAAGCGCGGGGAUCGAACAGGAUUAGAUACCCUUGUAGUC